rnacentral:rRNA from 1 species
GACGAACGCUGGCGGCGUGCUUAACACAUGCAAGUCGAACGGAAAGGCCCUGCUUUUGUGGGGUGCUCGAGUGGCGAACGGGUGAGUAGCACGUGAGUAACCUGCCCUUGACUUUGGGAUAACUUCAGGAAACUGGGGCUAAUACCGGAUAGGAGCUCCUGCUGCAUGGUGGGGGUUGGAAAGUUUCGGCGGUUGGGGAUGGACUCGCGGCUUAUCAGCUUGUUGGCGGGGUAGUGGCUUACCAAGGCUUUGACGGGUAGCCGGCCUGAGAGGGUGACCGGCCACAUUGGGACUGAGAUACGGCCCAGACUCCUACGGGAGGCAGCAGUGGGGAAUAUUGCACAAUGGGCGGAAGCCUGAUGCAGCAACGCCGCGUGCGGGAUGACGGCCUUCGGGUUGUAAACCGCUUUCGCCUGUGACGAAGCGUGAGUGACGGUAAUGGGUAAAGAAGCACCGGCUAACUACGUG